CCKGGCGGCCGUAGCGCGGUGGUCCCACCUGACCCCAUGCCGAACUCAGAAGUGAAACGCCGUAGCGCCGAUGGUAGUGUGGGGUCUCCCCAUGCGAGAGUAGGGAACUGCCAGGC
rnacentral:rRNA from 1 species